UACAGAGGGGGCAAGCGUUGUUCGGAAUUACUGGGCGUAAAGGGCGCGUAGGCGGCCUGUUAAGUCGAACGUGAAAUCCCCCGGGCUCAACCCGGGAACUGCGUCCGAUACUGGCAGGCUUGAAUCCGGGAGAGGGAUGCGGAAUUCCAGGUGUAGCGGUGAAAUGCGUAGAUAUCUGGAGGAACACCGGUGGCGAAGGCGGCAUCCUGGACCGGCAUUGACGCUGAGGCGCGAAAGCCAGGGGAGCAAAACGGG
rnacentral:rRNA from 1 species